CGGCGGGAGCGAGUCAGCAGCUUCAGCCAUGUUUUGGAUGUCUCCGGAGCUCGAUGGGUCUUCGUUUAACUGCAAGAAAUGACCAAGAGAAGCGAUUUUUCGGUUGCUGGUGCUUAUCUCUUUUCGUGUGUAUACGCAUUACUUACGUGUACUAUCACAACAGUUGAAUUGUAUGACUCGGAGCAAUAAUUGGAUUGCACAUACGAGGAGUCCUGUGACUAUCAGAGAGACAGAGACAGAGAGAGAGAGAGAGAGCGGGGCUGACGAGAGUAAGAGGUAUUGAGUCUGAUCAUCGACGGCUAUUCUGACAGACAACGACAUAUAGAAAUG
rnacentral:lncRNA from 1 species